rnacentral:rRNA from 1 species
GACGAACGCUGGCGGCGUGCUUAACACAUGCAAGUCGAACGGAAAGGCCCUGCUUUGGGGGGGUGCGCGAGUUGCGAACGGGUGAGUAACACGUGAGUAACCUGCCCCUGACUUUGGGAUAACUUCAGAAAACUGGGGCUAAUACCGGAUAGGAGCUCCUGCCGCUUGGUGGGGGCGGGAAAGUUUCGGCGGUUGGGGAUGGACUCGCGUCGUAUCAGCUUGUUGGUUGGGUAGUGGCUUACCAAGGCUUUGACGGGUAGCAGGCCUGAAAGGGUGAGCGGCCACAUUGGGCCGGAGAUGCGACCCAGCCUACUACGGGAGGCAGCAGUGGGGAGUAUUGCACUAUGGGCGGAGGCCUAAUCCAGCACAGCCACGUGCGGUAUGACGUCCUUCGGGUUGUAUACCGCUUUCGCCUGUGACGAAGCGUGAGUGACGGUAAUGGGUGAAGAAGCACCGGCUAACUACGUG